rnacentral:rRNA from 14 species
CCAGACUCCUACGGGAGGCAGCAGUGGGGAAUAUUGCACAAUGGGCGAAAGCCUGAUGCAGCCAUGCCGCGUGUGUGAAGAAGGCCUUCGGGUUGUAAAGCACUUUCAGUCAGGAGGAAAGGGUGUGAGUUAAUACCUCACAUCUGUGACGUUACUGACAGAAGAAGCACCGGCUAACUCCGUGCCAGCAGCCGCGGUAAUACGGAGGGUGCGAGCGUUAAUCGGAAUUACUGGGCGUAAAGCGUACGCAGGCGGUUUGUUAAGCGAGAUGUGAAAGCCCCGGGCUCAACCUGGGAACUGCAUUUCGAACUGGCAAACUAGAGUGUGAUAGAGGGUGGUAGAAUUUCAGGUGUAGCGGUGAAAUGCGUAGAGAUCUGAAGGAAUACCGAUGGCGAAGGCAGCCACCUGGGUCAACACUGACGCUCAUGUACGAAAGCGUGGGGAGCAAACGGGAUUAGAUACCCCGGUAGUCCACGCCGUAAACGAUGCACACUAGGUCGCGGUACCUCUCAUGGUUUCGCGGCCGAAGGUAAACUGGUAAGUGUGCCGCCUGGGGAGUACGGUCGCAAGGCUAAAACUCAAAGGAAUUGACGGGGACCCGCACAAGCGGUGGAUGAUGUGGAUUAAUUCGAUGCAACGCGAAAAACCUUACCUACCCUUGACAUGUCAGGAAGUCCGGAGAGA